UACGUAGGGGGCAAGCGUUGUCCGGAUUUACUGGGCGUAAAGCGUGCGCAGGCGGUUUUGUAAGCCCGGUGUGAAAUCCCCGGGCUCAACCUGGGAAUGGCAUUUGGGACUGCAAGGCUGGAGUGUGGCAGAGGAGACUGGAAUUCCUGGUGUAGCAGUGAAAUGCGUAGAUAUCAGGAGGAAUACCGAUGGCGAAGGCAGGUCUCUGGGCUGACACUGACGCUCAUGCACGAAAGCGUGGGGAGCAAACAGG
rnacentral:rRNA from 1 species